UACGUAGGGUGCAAGCGUUGUCCGGAAUUAUUGGGCGUAAAGAGCUCGUAGGCGGUCUGUCGCGUCUGCUGUGAAAACUCAGGGCUUAACCCUGAGCUUGCAGUGGGUACGGGCAGACUAGAGUGCGGUAGGGGAGACGUGGAAGUUCCUGGUGUAGCGGUGAAAUGCGCAGAUAUCAGGAGGAACACCGGUGGCGAAGGCGGGUCUCUGGGCCGUAACUGACGCU
rnacentral:rRNA from 1 species